rnacentral:tRNA from 1 species
UAGAUGAAUGCUCGCUGGUUUGAGUAUCUAGCUGUUAACUAGAAUUUUGUAGGAUCGAGGCCUUCUCAUCUAG